CCACAUCCCCACCUCCCCGUCGUCGCGCGCUCAUUGCCCCCUCCCCCGCCCCCCACUUCGCGACCGCGGCGGCGCCGCCACCUGCUCUCUCUCCUUCGACCCUAUCCACCCUUCGCGCCUGCCUCUGUUUCCUUGUGGGCCGGAAUCGAAUGUUUCUUCAUCGCCCCCCGCACCCCGCUCUCCGUCGCCGUUGCCAUCUUCCCUUGCUCCGGCGCCACCUGCGCAUCUAAACCCUGGUUCACAACGCUGCCAGAUCCAGCUGCCUGGAGCUCGCCACCCAAACCACGCGUCUCUACCUCCCGAUCCAGGCGGGUGGCACGGUCAUCGCUCGACGAACACAACAAUCUUCGCUCCAGUAGCGGCUUGAUAACCAGUGCAAUGUCCUCUUGGGUAGAGGAAACUUUGCUGUGAUGAGGAGUGUGCAAAAAUUGAGAGGAAAAGGGUCCUUGCUGAAGCUUUUGACAUUACACUGCCCAAUCUGGAUGCAUUGCAUUUCGGUGAGAAUUCAAGUGCGUCGGAGUUGCUUUCUGAUCUUUUCCGGCGAGAGCCAAAGUGGGUGCUGGCCAUAGAGAGGUGCAAAUUUCUCGUGCUUGGGAAGGCGCGAGGAAAUUCUUCAAGUAACAUCAAGGUCCAUGUGUUCUGUCAGAUGACGAAGGAUAAGAGGGAUGCUAUCAGGCUCAAUGCAGAUAGGUGAAAGCUGUCCGUUCAGGUGGUUGGUUGGGAGCCCAAGAGUUUUGUUAACAUCCAUGUCACACCCAAGUCAAAGGUGCCUGCUCAUGUUCUGGGCUCCAAAGCUGGUAUCUCUGUCUCGGCUUCCCAUCCUUACUUUGAUCCCAUGGUAGACAUGGACCCAAGGCUCGUUGUUGCAAUGCUGGACCUGCCAAGGGAAGCUGAUGCUAGCUCUCUGGUCUCGAGGUUUGGCGGGGAGUGUGAAUUGGUUUGGCUGAAUGACAAGAAUGCCUUGGCGGUCUUCCGUGAUCCAGCUAGAGCCGUCUCAGUGCUGAGGCGGUUGGACUAUGGGUCUGCUUACCAGGGGGCUGUGAUGUUUUGCCCAAGCAGCAUCACUCAGGCUUCGUCAUCAGGCAAUGUGUGGGUUCGCGCACAGAGAGACGGAGGACCCACUGCACAGGGCAGUGCCAAUCCAUGGAAGAAGGCUGGUGCCUUUGAGCCUGGAUCAUCUGGAGACUGGACAGUACUCGGUCAUUCUCCAGGGAUGUGUGUGCUUGGUCAAGCUGCAGGGUCAGCUUGAAGGCAGGCUGAUACCCCUGGUCAGGUCAUGGGUACAAACAGAUUGACUGCUCUGGAGUCUCCUGCUGGCACAAGCUCCGUGCCAGCCGACAAACUCAAGCCAGAUCUUUGCACUGAUGCUGGGUCCAGAGCACAAGGCAAAAGAAGCAGCAGCCUUAAAUGGGGAUUGCCGCGGCGACAGAAUCAGUACUUCUGAAUGAUAUACCUAAAUAAAAACAAGGAAUCUCGACCAAAACACCUACCCCUCGUCACGCGCGAUUCUUCCCAGUUUUCCACUUCAAGGUCUGGCUGCAGCUUGGGCACUGCUUGACCAGCGCUCUGUACUCUCUGCUCGCUUUCUGUGUUUGGAUGGUACUUUGUGUGAUCUUAAUGCUUUCUUAUACAGUAGCGUGGGGGAAACGCCGUGCAGAUUUUGCUUCUGCUCCAAAGUGUUCAAAUGUAGUCACCUCCGAAGUGCUUCUGUCCCUGUGGUCUUAAUGCCCGAGUUACAUUAUCUACCAAAAAAAAAUACGAAAGGAAUUUUAUUAUUCAGAUAUGCUUCCUGGUCUUUCACCGCCUCUUUCUCUGGUGCUGAGCGUGUCACCCGCAGCUACUCAGUCUUCAUCCAUAGGCGUCAGCAUCGCCAUUGUUGCUACUGUUAUAAUUGGUACAUCCCUCUUGACCUGUUGCAUUGCGGUCCUCUGCCGUAGUUCCCGCCGAAGUCGCACAGCCUGCUCUUCAUUCUCCCACCGCAGCAGCAGCUCCUGAAAGGCCUCGUUGUCAGCAGCACCUGAAAUGAAUGCAGAACUGUCUGGGUUGGAGCUCCCUCUGCCAUCUGCACCCUCUCUACCACUGAUUUUGGAAUUGCUCUCGCAACCCCAAGUGCUGAGGCAGCCGGGGAGCAGCAUCUUUUGCUGCAUGUGCGACCAAGUUUUUGUGCCUACCAAUAUGAUAAUGGCCCUUGCGGUGUGCUCACAUAAAUUCCAUCAACCGUCAUCGUCUCACAGAUUCGCUGACCCGCAACACCUUCAUGCUGUCCCUUCUGUGAUGCUCCCAUUACCAUUCCCUGCGCUGACCAGACCAAUCUUGCACACUGCUCAGAUCAGUAUGACAUUGACGCACAGGUCACGACAAAGCCAGCUCCGCCUGGAGAGGAGGUGGCAGAGGCUGUUGGGGGCUCUUGUGGGUGGCCGCGACCUUCAGUGGACAGACUUGCAGGCAUUAGGUGUUGCUCCAGCAACCAUGCCACUGCAGUGGUAGUGCCGGUGUCCUUACAGCAUACAGCCAGAAGCUGGAGCUAGACAACAUGGGCCACCUUGGCGUUGAUUCUAAUGGUCCAGAUGCAGUCUGGCAAGGAGGUAGAGGCUGUUGGGGGCUCUCACUGGUGGAUGCACUCUUAUUUGGCUACACUCUCGAACACCUGGAGUGGACGCUCAGACAGCCGUUCCUCUACACCUCAGGGUGUGCAACUCAGAGCUUGAGCCAGGUACCAAGUGGCUUUGGCGGUACUGAUUCAUGGUCUAGGAACUGGGAUCUUGAGCCAGGUACCAAGUUUCAUCUACAGUUGUAUUAUGUUUGGCCUCAAGGUGUGCAACUCAGAGCUUGAGCCAGGUACCAAGUGGCUUUGCCGGUACUGAUUCAUGGUCUAGGAGCUGGGAUCUUCAAGUAGCUGAGCAGAGGAGCUUCGUCUUCGAAUUUGAUCAUGCCCGAUGGUUGCAUUGAAA